rnacentral:rRNA from 1 species
AGCUCUCCGAGUGGUAGGGGUGAUUAUUGGGCCUAAAGCGUCCGUAGCCGGCCUGACAAGUCUCCCGUUAAAUCCAGCAACCUAAUUGUUGGGCUGCGGGGGAUACUGUUAGGCUAGGGGGCGGAAGAGGCCGACGGUAUUCCCGGGGUAGGGGUGAAAUCCUAUAAUCCCGGGAGGACCACCAGUGGCGAAGGCUGUCGGCUAAUACGCGCCUGACGGUGAGGGACGAAAGCUGGGGGAGCGAACCGGAUUAGAUACCCGAGUAGUCC